UCUCUGAUUCAGCGGCGGACGGGUGAGUAAUGCCUAGGAAUCUGCCUGGUAGUGGGGGACAACGUUUCGAAAGGAACGCUAAUACCGCAUACGUCCUACGGGAGAAAGCAGGGGACCUUCGGGCCUUGCGCUAUCAGAUGAGCCUAGGUCGGAUUAGCUAGUUGGUGAGGUAAUGGCUCACCAAGGCGACGAUCCGUAACUGGUCUGAGAGGAUGAUCAGUCACACUGGAACUGAGACACGGUCCAGACUCCUACGGGAGGCAGCAGUGGGGAAUAUUGGACAAUGGGCGAAAGCCUGAUCCAGCCAUGCCGCGUGUGUGAAGAAGGUCUUCGGAUUGUAAAGCACUUUAAGUUGGGAGGAAGGGCAGUAAGUUAAUACCUUGCUGUUUUGACGUUACCGACAGAAUAAGCACCGGCUAACUUCGUGCCAGCAGCCGCGGUAAUACGAAGGGUGCAAGCGUUAAUCGGAAUUACUGGGCGUAAAGCGCGCG
rnacentral:rRNA from 1 species